rnacentral:rRNA from 1 species
AUUGAACGCUGGCGGCAGGCUUAACACAUGCAAGUCGAGCGAGCGGCGGACGGGUGAGUAAUGUCUGGGAAACUGCCUGAUGGGGGGGGAUAACUACUGGAAACGGUAGCUAAUACCGCAUACCAUCAGAUGUGCCCAGAUGGGAUUAGCUAGUAGGUGGGGUAAUGGCUCACCUAGGCGACGAUCCCUAGCUGGUCUGAGAGGAUGACCGGCAACACUGGAAUGGCGACACGGUCCAGACCCCUACGGGAGGCAGCAGUGGGGAAUAUCGCACAAGGGGCGCAAGCCGGAUGAGCACAUGCCGCGUGUGUGAAGAAGGCUUCCGGGUUGUAAAGCACUUUCAGCGAGGAGGCGGUACUCGCAGAAGAAGCACCGGCUAACUCCGUGCCAGCAGCCGCGGUAAUUC